rnacentral:rRNA from 1 species
AACGAACGCUGGCGGCAUGCCUAACACAUGCAAGUCGAACGAGACCUUCGGGUCUAGUGGCGCACGGGUGCGUAACGCGUGGGAACCUGCCCUUAGGUUCGGAAUAACUCCCCGAAAGGGGUGCUAAUACCGGAUAAUGUCUUCGGACCAAAGAUUUAUCGCCUUUGGAUGGGCCCGCGUUGGAUUAGCUAGUUGGUAGGGUAAAAGCCUACCAAGGCGACGAUCCAUAGCUGGUCUGAGAGGAUGAUCAGCCACACUGGGACUGAGACACGGCCCAGACUCCUACGGGAGGCAGCAGUGGGGAAUAUUGGACAAUGGGCGAAAGCCUGAGCCAGCAAUGCCGCGUGAGUGAUGAAGGCCUUAGGGCUGUAAAGCUCUUUUACCCGGGAUGAUAAUGACAGUACCGGGAGAAUAAGCUCCGGCUAACUCCGUG